rnacentral:ncRNA from 1 species
AUGCUAGUUUUCUUAGUCGUAGACCAAAUUAGAAAACCAGGAUCCAAUUAGAGAAAAGUGAUAACUUUCAAAUUUAGAGAAACCCUAGAAUUAAUAAAAAUGGGCAAUUCUGAUCCAAAUCACGUUUUCCAAAAACAAACGAAAGUUUAGAAAACAAAAUUAAAAAAGGAUAGGUGCAGAGACUCGAUGGAAGCUGUUCUAAUGAAUGGAGUUGAUUAUCUUACAUUGGUAGACGAAUCCUUCUAUCAAAACUUCAGAAAAGAGGAACGAUAAACCUGUAUACCAAGAAGAAUUGGUGUGAAUUGAUUUCAUAAUGAAGAAAGAACCAAAUCUGAUAGAUCUUUUGAAUAACUGAUGAAAUCAGAUGAGAAUAAAGCUUGUGUCCCAUUCUAUAUGCCAAUACCGG